GGUUAAGCGACUAAGCGUACACGGUGGAUGCCCUGGCAGUCAGAGGCGAUGAAGGACGUGCUAAUCUGCGAUAAGCGUCGGUAAGGUGAUAUGAACCGUUAUAACCGGCGAUUUCCGAAUGGGGAAACCCAGUGUGUUUCGACACACUAUCAUUAACUGAAUCCAUAGGUUAAUGAGGCGAACCGGGGGAACUGAAACAUCUAAGUACCCCGAGGAAAAGAAAUCAACCGAGAUUCCCCCAGUAGCGGCGAGCGAACGGGGAGCAGCCCAGAGCCUGAAUCAGUGUGUGUGUUAGUGGAAGCGUCUGGAAAGGCGCGCGAUACAGGGUGACAGCCCCGUACACAAAAAUGCACAUGCUGUGAGCUCGAUGAGUAGGGCGGGACACGUGGUAUCCUGUCUGAAUAUGGGGGGACCAUCCUCCAAGGCUAAAUACUCCUGACUGACCGAUAGUGAACCAGUACCGUGAGGGAAAGGCGAAAAGAACCCCGGCGAGGGGAGUGAAAAAGAACCUGAAACCGUGUACGUACAAGCAGUGGGAGCACGCUUCGGCGUGUGACUGCGUACCUUUUGUAUAAUGGGUCAGCGACUUAUAUUCUGUAGCAAGGUUAACCGAAUAGGGGAGCCGAAGGGAAACCGAGUCUUAACUGGGCGUUAAGUUGCAGGGUAUAGACCCGAAACCCGGUGAUCUAGCCAUGGGCAGGUUGAAGGUUGGGUAACACUAACUGGAGGACCGAACCGACUAAUGUUGAAAAAUUAGCGGAUGACUUGUGGCUGGGGGUGAAAGGCCAAUCAAACCGGGAGAUAGCUGGUUCUCCCCGAAAGCUAUUUAGGUAGCGCCUCGUGAAUUCAUCUCCGGGGGUAGAGCACUGUUUCGGCAAGGGGGUCAUCCCGACUUACCAACCCGAUGCAAACUGCGAAUACCGGAGAAUGUUAUCACGGGAGACACACGGCGGGUGCUAACGUCCGUCGUGAAGAGGGAAACAACCCAGACCGCCAGCUAAGGUCCCAAAGUCAUGGUUAAGUGGGAAACGAUGUGGGAAGGCCCAGACAGCCAGGAUGUUGGCUUAGAAGCAGCCAUCAUUUAAAGAAAGCGUAAUAGCUCACUGGUCGAGUCGGCCUGCGCGGAAGAUGUAACGGGGCUAAACCAUGCACCGAAGCUGCGGCAGCGACGCUGAUGCGUUGUUGGGUAGGGGAGCGUUCUGUAAGCCUGUGAAGGUGUGCUGUGAGGCAUGCUGGAGGUAUCAGAAGUGCGAAUGCUGACAUAAGUAACGAUAAAGCGGGUGAAAAGCCCGCUCGCCGGAAGACCAAGGGUUCCUGUCCAACGUUAAUCGGGGCAGGGUGAGUCGACCCCUAAGGCGAGGCCGAAAGGCGUAGUCGAUGGGAAACAGGUUAAUAUUCCUGUACUUGGUGUUACUGCGAAGGGGGGACGGAGAAGGCUAUGUUGGCCGGGCGACGGUUGUCCCGGUUUAAGCGUGUAGGCUGGUUUUCCAGGCAAAUCCGGAAAAUCAAGGCUGAGGCGUGAUGACGAGGCACUACGGUGCUGAAGCAACAAAUGCCCUGCUUCCAGGAAAAGCCUCUAAGCAUCAGGUAACAUCAAAUCGUACCCCAAACCGACACAGGUGGUCAGGUAGAGAAUACCAAGGCGCUUGAGAGAACUCGGGUGAAGGAACUAGGCAAAAUGGUGCCGUAACUUCGGGAGAAGGCACGCUGAUAUGUAGGUGAAGUCCCUCGCGGAUGGAGCUGAAAUCAGUCGAAGAUACCAGCUGGCUGCAACUGUUUAUUAAAAACACAGCACUGUGCAAACACGAAAGUGGACGUAUACGGUGUGACGCCUGCCCGGUGCCGGAAGGUUAAUUGAUGGGGUUAGCGCAAGCGAAGCUCUUGAUCGAAGCCCCGGUAAACGGCGGCCGUAACUAUAACGGUCCUAAGGUAGCGAAAUUCCUUGUCGGGUAAGUUCCGACCUGCACGAAUGGCGUAAUGAUGGCCAGGCUGUCUCCACCCGAGACUCAGUGAAAUUGAACUCGCUGUGAAGAUGCAGUGUACCCGCGGCAAGACGGAAAGACCCCGUGAACCUUUACUAUAGCUUGACACUGAACAUUGAGCCUUGAUGUGUAGGAUAGGUGGGAGGCUUUGAAGUGUGGACGCCAGUCUGCAUGGAGCCGACCUUGAAAUACCACCCUUUAAUGUUUGAUGUUCUAACGUUGACCCGUAAUCCGGGUUGCGGACAGUGUCUGGUGGGUAGUUUGACUGGGGCGGUCUCCUCCUAAAGAGUAACGGAGGAGCACGAAGGUUGGCUAAUCCUGGUCGGACAUCAGGAGGUUAGUGCAAUGGCAUAAGCCAGCUUGACUGCGAGCGUGACGGCGCGAGCAGGUGCGAAAGCAGGUCAUAGUGAUCCGGUGGUUCUGAAUGGAAGGGCCAUCGCUCAACGGAUAAAAGGUACUCCGGGGAUAACAGGCUGAUACCGCCCAAGAGUUCAUAUCGACGGCGGUGUUUGGCACCUCGAUGUCGGCUCAUCACAUCCUGGGGCUGAAGUAGGUCCCAAGGGUAUGGCUGUUCGCCAUUUAAAGUGGUACGCGAGCUGGGUUUAGAACGUCGUGAGACAGUUCGGUCCCUAUCUGCCGUGGGCGCUGGAGAACUGAGGGGGGCUGCUCCUAGUACGAGAGGACCGGAGUGGACGCAUCACUGGUGUUCGGGUUGUCAUGCCAAUGGCACUGCCCGGUAGCUAAAUGCGGAAGAGAUAAGUGCUGAAAGCAUCUAAGCACGAAACUUGCCCCGAGAUGAGUUCUCCCUGACUCCUUGAGAGUCCUGAAGGAACGUUGAAGACGACGACGUUGAUAGGCCGGGUGUGUAAGCGCAGCGAUGCGUUGAGCUAACCGGUACUAAUGAACCGUGAGGCUUAACCUU
rnacentral:rRNA from 1 species